CGACCCAGUAAAAGCUUGCUGCUUCGCUGACGAGUGGCGGACGGGUGAGUAAUGUCUGGGAAACUGCCUGAUGGAGGGGGAUAACUACUGGAAACGGUAGCUAAUACCGCAUAACGUCGCAAGACCAAAGAGGGGGACCUUCGGGCCUCUUGCCAUCGGAUGUGCCCAGAUGGGAUUAGCUAGUAGGUGGGGUAACGGCUCACCUAGGCGACGAUCCCUAGCUGGUCUGAGAGGAUGACCAGCCACACUGGAACUGAGACACGGUCCAGACUCCUACGGGAGGCAGCAGUGGGGAAUAUUGCACAAUGGGCGCAAGCCUGAUGCAGCCAUGCCGCGUGUAUGAAGAAGGCCUUCGGGUUGUAAAGUACUUUCAGCGGGGAGGAAGGGAGUAAAGUUAAUACCUUUGCUCAUUGACGUUACCCGCAAAAGAAGCACCGGCUAACUCCGUGCCAGCAGCCGCGGUAAUACGGAGGGUGCAAGCGUUAAUCGGAAUUACUGGGCGUAAACCGCACGCAGGCGGUUUGUUAAGUCAGAUGUGAAGUCCCCCGGGCCUC
rnacentral:rRNA from 1 species